AAACCAAYAGKRRKCGCCDGAGUAVVGGCGGGUGAAGCGGCHAGAGCUCMAAUUUGAAAUCUGGUACCUUCGGUGCCCGAGUUGUAAUUUGAAGAAAGCUAUCUUGGAUUUGGCCUUUGUCUAUGUUCCUUGGAACAGGACGUCACAGAGGGUGAGAAUCCCGUGCGAUGAGGUGUCCAUUUCUAUGUAAGAUGUUUUCGAAGAGUCGAGUUGUUUGGGAAUGCAGCUCUAAGUGGGUGGUAAAUUCCAUCUAAAGCUAAAUAUUGGCGAGAGACCGAUAGCGAACAAGUACAGUGAUGGAAAGAUGAAAAGAACUUUGAAAAGAGAGUGAAAAAGUACGUGAAAUUGUUGAAAGGGAAGGGUAUUAGAUCAGACUUGGUAUUUAGUUAUCAUUACUCCUUGUGGGUGGUGCUCUAGCUUUUUACUGGGCCAGCAUCAGUUUUGGUGACAGGAUAAUAGCAAUUGAAUGUGGCUCCUCGGAGUGUUAUAGCUUUUGUUGAUACUGUCUACUGGGACUGAGGUCUGCGGCUUUGCCUAGGAUGCUGGCGUAAUGAUCCAWWMCSSC
rnacentral:rRNA from 1 species